rnacentral:tRNA from 1 species
GGGGCUAUAGCUCAGCUGGGAGAGCGCUUGAAUGGCAUUCAAGAGGUCAGGGGUUCGAGCCCCCUUAGCUCCA